UGUGCACACUGUUAGAGCCUGGUGCUGCUGCUGCUGUCAGUUCUCAGGUGUCGGAGGUGUGCUAUAUUAAUCAGGCCGGGUUUUCGCUAACACCAUGAGGGCUCUGGCCCCAUGACUGGGGUUUGAUAGUGACCUGAGCCACACUG